GAUGAACGCUGACAGAAUGCUUAACACAUGCAAGUCUACUUGAUCCUUCGGGUGAUGGUGGCGGACGGGUGAGUAACGCGUAAAGAACUUGCCUUGCAGUCUGGGACAACGUCUGGAAACGGACGCUAAUACCGGAUAUUAUGAUUGAAUCGCAUGAUUUAAUUAUGAAAGCUAUAUGCGCUGCGAGAGAGCUUUGCGUCCCAUUAGUUAGUUGGUGAGGUAACGGCUCACCAAGACGAUGAUGGGUAGCCGGCCUGAGAGGGUGAACGGCCACAAGGGGACUGAGACACGGCCCUUACUCCUACGGGAGGCAGCAGUGGGGAAUAUUGGACAAUGGACCAAAAGUCUGAUCCAGCAAUUCUGUGUGCACGAUGAAGUUUUUCGGAAUGUAAAGUGCUUUCAGUUGGGAAGAAGAAAGUGACGGUACCAACAGAAGAAGCGACGGCUAAAUACGUGCCAGCAGCCGCGGUAAUACGUAUGUCGCAAGCGUUAUCCGGAUUUAUUGGGCGUAAAGCGCGUCUAGGCGGUUUGGUAAGUCUGAUGUGAAAAUGCGGGGCUCAACUCCGUAUUGCGUUGGAAACUGCCAAACUAGAGUACUGGAGAGGUGGGCGGAACUACAAGUGUAGAGGUGAAAUUCGUAGAUAUUUGUAGGAAUGCCGAUGAGGAAGCCAGCCCACUGGACAGAUACUGACGCUAAAGCGCGAAAGCGUGGGUAGCAAACAGG
rnacentral:rRNA from 1 species